AAGAAGCUUGAACAUCAUCCAGGACACUUUGUGGGCUCUAUUUAGAUGAUCAGUCAACACAAGGGAAAGACUUGAGUUACUUCCAACAGGGGUCUAUUCGGCAGUCAAAACGUUAAUCUUGAAGGAGCAAAGGUUUGUUCAUGAACUGUCAUGCUCGCUAGGCGAAGCCCACGUGUUUUGAAAAAAAAAACGAAAAAAAAAAUGGAAAACGAAAAAUAAAUAAAUAAAUAAA
rnacentral:lncRNA from 1 species